AAAGGGAAUAUCGAAAAUUCGAGUGGCUGAAGCUGAAGCAGCUACUUUUGAAAAUGUAUUGUUCUGAGGUAUAUUAAGAUUCAAUCUCUGGUUCAUAUUUCAUCGACAACUAAAUAAAUAGAACAAAAUAAAAAACAAAUAGCGGUAACUUAUUAGACACCGGGAUCGAUGGUAUCUAAUAAGUUCUACCUACUAUUGGAUUUGAACCAAUGACUCCCGCCGUAUGAAAGCAAUACUCUAACCACUGAGUUAAGUAGGUCAUUUAUUAUCAUAAGGAAUCAUAAAGAAAAAGAAAAGGGACCUAUUACAUAGAUGGAUUGUAAAUCCAAUAUUACUUCUAAGCAAUACCAAUCAAACUGACCAAAGGGGUAUGAUUAUGAUGUUGGAUCAUGUAAUGUUCAUCUUGACAAAGUCACUUGGAUUUAUCCAUGAUUUCUUUAUUCCUUAUUUCUAAAAAGAAUCCUAUCCCUAUCUCUAUUUCUAAAAUCCUAUUUUGAAAAUUCAAAUUAUAGAAUAAAUAUAAUAAAUAGGAUUUGGUUUGUUUAUUUUAUUAUUGUAUUGUUUAUUUUAUUAUUAUUUAUCAUUUCAAUAUAUAAUUUAAAUAUAUAUAAAUUUUAAAAAAUUACUCAGAUACCAGUGAGUGAGGCUUAUUUGGGUCGUGUUAUAAAUGCCCUGGCUAAGCCUAUUGACGGUCGGGGUGAAAUUUCAGCUUCUGAAUCUCUGUUAAUUAAAUCUCCUGCCCCAGGUAUUAUUUCGAGACGUUCCGUUUAUGAGCCUCUUCAAACAGGACUUAUUGCUAUUGAUUCGAUGAUCCCUAUAGGACGUGGUCAGCGAGAAUUAAUUAUUGGGGAUAGACAGACUGGUAAAACAGUAGUAGCCAUGGAUACGAUUCUCAAUCAGCAAGGGCAAAAUGUAAUAUGUGUUGGGAGUUCACAUUCUCAUCAUCUUUGGUAAAAUCAAGCCCGCCACGUAGACAUUCAUAAACUGCUCUACCGUAGUUCUUAGCUGAUAACCCCAAUUUAGAUUUAAUAGUACAUCCUAAUAGGGGGCGACCAUACUUGUUCAAUUUAUCUCUUUCAACCUGGAUGCCAUGAGGCGGGCCUUGGAAAGUUUUAAUAUAAGCAGUAGGGAUUCGCAGAUCCUCUAGACGUAGAGCGCGCAGGGCUUUGAACCCAAAUACAUUAACCACAAUGGAAGUAAACAUGUUAGUAACAGAACCUUCUUCAAAAAGGUCUAAAGGGUAAGCUACAUAACAUAUAUAUUAAUCUUCUUCUCCAGGAACAGGCUCAAUGUCGUAGCAUCACCCUUUGUAAUGAUCAAGGCUGGUAAGCCCAUCGGUCCACACAGUUGUCCAUGUACCAGCAGAAGAUUCAGCAACUACCGCGGCCCCUGCUUCCCCAGGCGGAACUCCGGGUUGAGGAGUUACUCGGAAGGCUGCCAAGAUAUCAGUAUCUUUGACUUCAUAUUUAGGAGUAUAAUAAGUCAAUUUAUACUCUUUAACACCAGCUUUGAAUCCAACACUUACUUUAGCCUCUAUUUGUGGUGACAUAAGUCCCUCCCUACAACUCAUGAAUUAAGAAUUCUCGCAACAACAAGGUCUACUCGAUAUAAUGAGGAGUUAAUGAAGCCUUUUCGAAGAAAUCUUUCAAAAAAUUAUCAACGAAUCUGAAAGGUUCCUUAUUAGACCAUGGUAUUUGAUUCACCAAAUACAUCAUUAUUCUAUAUUCUUUCAUAUGUAUGGUGCAACCCGAUCCGUGUUUUUCAAGUUUAUAAUUCCUUACUUGUUUUUGAAUCAAAAUUCUAAAUGCAAAUGGAAUAAAUGAAAUAGAAAUAGAUAAAUAAUAUAAAAAUAAUACUAAUAUAUAUUAGAAUAUAUAUAAUAGAAUAGAUAAAUAUAUAAUAGAAUUAAUAUUCUAACAUCUAAUAUAAAUUAUAUAUUAUAAGCUCAAUAAAAUAAGAAAUUCACCCUUGACAGUAAUAUAUGUUGUAUAUGUAAAUCCUAGAUGUGAAAACAGGCGUAAUUCGGCCCUGAAAUGAAAAAAAAGGGGAAUAUGAUGGAAAAAGGGGGGAGAGGUUGGACGUAAAGUAAAAAAAAAAUCGAUAUGCUAAAAUAAAAUAUGAAAUGAAAUUGAAACAAGGCUAAUGAGAUAGAAAUAAGGAAUCAUAAAUAGAGUUCGAGUUCGAAUUCCAUAGAUAAUAUGGAUGGUGUUGCCUAUAAUGAUGGACAAAUGAAAGACUCUCCCAAAAUUUUUAUUUAUCCACUUCCUAUUUUGAAAAUAGGUUGGUUGAACUUAAAAAUUCCUUCAUUGAAUAAGGAAACAAUCCAAUUGCAUACACUUGAAUUGGAUGGGACCAACAAAAUCGAGCGCUAACCCCCAUUUCUUAUUGAAUUAACUGAUCAACCUCCUGUCGAAGAUUAGCCAUACACUUCACAUGUUUCUAGCGAUUCACAUGGCAUCAUCAAAUGAUACAAGUCUUGGAUAAGAAUCUACAACGCACUAGAAU
rnacentral:lncRNA from 1 species